rnacentral:lncRNA from 1 species
CACAACUCCUGAAAAAUAAGAAAGAACGUCGGUCCUGGCAGUCUUUCAGCCACAAAGCUUUGAGAAAUGGGGCUAAAUAUUAAUAAUAACUGCUUGGAUUAUAAUGAGGAAUCAAUCAAAACACAUACUGUUGAUGAAGAUGCCUUGAACACCGUGGAUGCUGUAGAAUAAGGGAUUAUGACUACAGCAAUUCUUGGCUCCCUUCUCUGUUUGUUUAAGGGUUACACAGGCUUUGUUUAAUAUCUCCGUGUCUCAGUCCUUUCGGUUGAAGCACAAGGCAUGCUUCAGCCACCUGAGAUUAACUGCUAAACCCUGCAGCAAGCCAGCAUCUCCUCCCUGCUGCCUCUCAUCCGUCAGGAUCUGCUCUGGAAAUGGGCCAGUGGUGACGUGUGGGAAUGCAGCCCUUUGUGUUUGUUUUUGGUGUUGGAUUUGGUGGCCUUGGUCACGGAUUGGCUUCCUUCUUUGAAACUGAACAUCUUCCAUGCCUUUGUGAUUGAGUGACAAAAGUUCAACCUGCACAUGCCAAAAUGAACAGCCUAGAAAACUGAUUAUGGUUUCAGGACCAGCUUUAAAAAAAAGCAACAAAACCCUUCCAGUCACCCAGAGUUCUAAACAUAAUCGGUUGGUUCCCAGAAGUACAAUAAAAGGAAGCCAGAAGUAUUUUAGUCCCUAGUUGUUUAUGAAUCAACCUGAUUUUCUUUUUCAGACUUUGAAGGUCACAGAAUCAAAUCAUGUGGAGCCAUUUCCAUCAGUCCUCCUACCCACCCUUUCUCCCCUGUUCUCUGUUGCAAGUAGGGUUUUGCUAGGUUUAAGUAGAACAUUGCUCAGAAUUUCCAGGGGUUCUUAAUUAAAGCAGGUUUCUUUUCCAAGAAAGCUGCCUUGGAAAUUACUGGAAGGGAAGCAACAGUGACAAGUAAAGCAGGCGUCAGAAUACCUUCAGUGUACCCCAGCCCUGCUCCUCCCCUAGAGCACAGGCUCAGGAGUUCUGCUGGCCUUAGGUAGAAGCCAAGGAAGAGGGGCCUGCACUCAUCUUUCUGAGUAAGCCAGGGCACUUCAUGUCUGGGAUAAAGCCAGCAGGGCAUGGGACAUGGCAUGGAACUGAAUUUAUAUAGGAAGUAGAC